CAAAGCAGUUCUUAUAAACAAAAAUAGGAUUUCUAUCCUGUACAGUCUUUGACGAACUUCCACAUUCUGGUCUCAAACCAUUAUUUAAACGACAUCCGCUAACUCCCUUCCCAUUACUCCCCGAGACUGCAAGAUAACGGAAAGGCAGGGAGUGGGCUUUCCCUUCCAGCAGACAAUGAAGAUAGACGUGGACUCUGGCCCCAAACAGCUGUGAGCUCUUGGGCUGACUGCCCACAGUGCUGAGCCACCGUUUCCUCUGGUGUCAAACAAGGAUGACUCCUGAAUUGUGGCAAAGCCCAGCGGCUCGGAGGGGGGCCUCCGGAGUCAGCCCCCUGGGUUUACAUCCGGUUGCACUGCUUGCUCGCCUCUGCGACCCCAGGCAGGUUAAGUAAAAUUUUUUUGCACUUCAGAGCCCUCAUCAACAAAACGAGAACAAUAUUAUGAAUUGAGGGUUACUUGAACAAAGCCAUUAGCGUGAGGUCUGCCGCAUUUUUAAGUGCUCAACGCAUUUAGCCAGCCCAAACUUUUCUCCUGAGUUCCAGACCUAUUCAGGCAGAUGUCUGGAAAGAAGAAUACGAACGCCGCUUGGAACAGAUGUUAACCUGCAGAAAGUCUUGGGUAAACGGGUCGUCCAGCACUUGAAAAAUGAAGGUGAAGAAAAAAACCCCAACAUUUUCAGAUAAAUGGAAAUUAAGGGAAUUCAUUGCCAGAAGACCUGCACUAAGAAAUGCUACCAGAUGGGAAUCCGGAUAUUCAGGAAGGAAACCAUUGGAAAUGGAAUGAAAAUGCAUUUCCAUUGGAAAUGGUUUGCACAUUCUUCAAGGCUAUGUUUAUCUUCCAAAGGAUUCUUCUGAUUCCUCCAGCUCCAGUUUUUCUCCUCCUAAACAUUUGAUGAGUUUGGAAGUUGAUGUUCUUUGUCUUUUGAAAAGCAUCCACCUGCUUUUCCUCUGGAGGAUGGAAAGACAACUGGCUCUUUUCCCAGACGACUCCAGCAAACCUCACCUGACAUCUCAGCCCAAUCACAGCCACGAGGAAGCUAACCAACAUGAUGGGAAUGGAAGAGCAGAAGAUAGAACUUGGGCUCUUGAUGACGUUGUCAUGGUGCUGAGUGGAAUAAUCCCAAAGACGUACUACCUCAGGACUCCUUGUUGUGUGAGCUAAGAAAUCCCUUUGCUGUUUCAGCUGUCUUGAGUUGAGCUGUUUCCCAAGCUGCUCCUGUUUCAUUUUCUUACUCUUCUUAUGAAACUUUGAAUGUGCCUGCAACAAAAUCCUUACUUAGGGGCCGGUUAUGGAGUAAGAGUAAGGCCUCUCUCCCUGUCACUGUGUGAGAGGUCUCACAGAGUGCAGAGUGAGAUACUCCUAGAAUGCCAGUGGGCCCCAAAGAGAGACACGGGCUCCCAUCAUAGCUAGAUUCAAAGGCAGCUUUUCUAGGUUUUGGUAGCCCACCGCAGUAGCCAAAAAUGCCCAUUGGCUUGGAGGAUUGAUGCAUGGACCCAACUUAGAAAUUGGUUCUUAGGCUCACCUUUGGUCUGGAUCUGGCUCUGAGUAACCCGCUGUGCUCUGGUGUUUUCAGGACGCCUAGAUACUAUCUGUCUGCUGUGUAAUCCUUUAUAGGAUUAGCUCAGGAGACUCAAAAUGCUCAAAACUUGCACAUUCUAAGGAAAGGCCUGGCCUUAACUAAUUCUAGCAGAUACCCUCUAGGCCCUGGGAAUAUCCUUCCUAAUGAGAGUAUCUUCAUAUAAUUGAUUCUUUGAUCCAACCCAGAUCAUCUAUGCUAAUGAUGUGAUUUAUGGGGAACAUCUGUUUUGUCUGCCUGGGGCGUUGGGCCACACUAUAUCUCUUUGACUCUUGGAGACCUGGAGACUGAGUAGUUAAGGUUAGUCAGUCACUCAGGUGCUCCUUGCCUAUGUGAGUGACCCCCAGUAAGAACCCUGGACACGCAGGCUCAGGUGGGUGCCCUGGCUGGCAAUAAGACUUUGUAUGUGACCAUCACAUGUUGCUGGAAGCAUUAAGCACAGCCUGUACAGUUCCUCUGGGGGUAGACCAAUGGAAAGAAGCUUAUGCCUGGUUUCUCCUGCUCUGUGCAUCUUCGCCUUUACUGAUUUCAAUCUGUAUUCUUUGCUGCAAAGAACAUACAUUUACCAGAUUUUCUGAGUUCUGUGAGUCCUUCUAGAGAAUCAUUGAGCCUGAGGGUGGUUUUGGGGAUCCCUGACACUCCACUACACAGAAACCUAAAACUUCUGUUGGAAUCUCUUAUAUUCUUCUUAGAGUCACAUAUCAACUCAGUAUUUUACUGGGUCAACUGAUCCUCUGGAAAGAGCCCGGGGACACGCAAGACUUGGAAUCCUCUUCUGGUUCCAUGACAUGGCAUUGACGGGGCCUUGGGGAAGUCACAGAUCUCUAAUCUGUCCUCUUUGGCCAAGUAGGGCAAUAUCUGCUCUGUCUCCUAUAAUGGGUCAUUGUGGGGGGCACAUCAGAUAAUGCACGUGACAACGUUUUGAAAAAUGUAUGGAUUUUUAAUGAUUAGAUGUUGCAUAUACUUUAAACACUUGACACAGAGGUGGAAUAUUUAGUGGCUAACACUGAGUGCUGAAUUUGUGCCAGGAACUUUAACACGUACAGGCUCAUUUAAUCCCCACUCUGGAAUCAACCUCAUGUUAUAUCUUCAAUAGAAGCUUCAUGAGGAGGAAAUAAAAUAAACUUUCCACGGUUCUAUAACUAGUAAAGAGCAAAACUAGAACUCAAACCAUAGGCGUCUGGUUGAAGAGCCCAAGCAAUCACCCAUUUUACAAUGCAGUUCUGUACUUUCAAGUGCCUCCAGUGAAUUCAGUCUCUUAAAUAUAAAACACCUUAGAGAUGUAAAAUACCAGUAACAACCUAGAAAUGAUCCCUAGACCGAGGUUACUAGAGAAAAUACACUUGUCUUACCUAAGACAAUUUUCCUUCCUUCUGGGUCAGGAUACUCAACAAGUAAACCCAUCUUGGGACACUUACAGACACACCAUCCAACAACUAACUGGAGGUUAGUUAGUUAACAGCUCUUUCCAGGGGCUCUUUCCAGGGAAUCAGUUGACCCAGCUAACAAGAGGAGGGGGGCUUGACUGCUCUUGCUCCCUUUCUCUGUUUACCCAGUUGUAUUUUGGAUAGAUUUUCCUGUUGACCUACAGCUGCCACAGUCAUGAUGAGAGGAGAAGUUUGUUAUGUCUCAUGAUGAGGGGAGAAGUCUGUUAUGUCACCUGUCAAGUGUGUGAAGCAUUUUCCACUGUCUUCUGGGAUAACUGAAAGCUUGGUUGUGAAACACAUCUUUAGUACCUCA